UGUUGUCAAAGAAAUAACAAUUUAUAAUAAUAGAUAAUUUCAUUUGCAUGAGUUUAUGUUAGGUUUUAAACUCUAAUGAUUCACAUAUGAAUUGUUAAGGGAAAUUGGCUUGGAAAAACCACGGUUGCUAAUUGCACGAGACUCCUAUCUAAUGGGGUCUGGGUAGAUAUAUGUAGCCGUACUUGUGUUUCCAGUAUUUGAACCCAUGUAGGCUUAACUUUUUUUAAAAGCUAAUAUUUUAAUGUUGAAGUUGUCAAUGGAAGUGAAACUUUUCGGAACUAAGUAAAUAAUGAAUCAACAAAAGAUACAUAUGCAUGAUGCAUGCACAUGGAUAUUGUUUGCUACAGGAUAUUCACUUAACUAAAGCAUUUUGUUAUGUCGUUUUCAUAUGAUCCAGUGAUGAAUUUCAUAAUCAAGGUUUAGAAAUUGUUAUAAGGGAAUGCUUCACCUCGCAACUUUCGUUCUUCUUGCUUUUCUGUCUAUUUUAGGGCUUUUAUGAUUUAUAAUAGUAGAACAUUGGAUAUCUUUCUUUGUUUUCCUGGACUGUUAUUGAUGAGGACUGUCACAGGUGGAUGGUUCAUUUCAUUCACCAGCUUGGCAUGCUGCUCGUUUGGCCAGCCUUAACACUUCUCAUACUGUUACCUGGGAAGAGUACAAGAAGAAACAAAAGGAAGAAGAAAUGAGAAAAGGGGAGUUGGAAGCAGAUGCAGAUAAGAUGAUGAGGGAGUAUAGAGCUCAACUAGAUGCUGAAAGGGCUCAAAAACUUUCCCAUGGAAGAAAUCACUCUGGUAGUAAGUCUAAAUAUGGAAAAGAUAAAAGGGAUAUGAUUUCCAAGAAGCACAGCAGCAAAAAGAGAAAGCACUCAAGAAGAUCGUCUGCAUCUAGUUCCUCUUCCUCGUCUUCGUAUUCUUCCAGUAGUGAAGAAGAGAGGUCGUCAAGAAGAUCCAAAUCCAGAUCUAAGAGGUCAAAGAAGGAAAAGAAGGCUAAGUUGAGGCGAAAAAGUUCUGGAACAGGUAGCGACGAUGAUGGCCCGGUUCCCCUUUCAAAAUUCUUUGGGAGCGUCAAGAGUUAAUGAUGUUACUUGGUUGUGUAAUCAUAAAAUUGUUUUAUGCAAGUAGUAAAAUUCUGCUUGGCUUUAUUUUUAUGAGAUCAACGUAUUCUAAUUUGUAUGUUAUAUUAUGUGUCCCCUUUCUAAAAGAUUUGAAGUUUUAGGUUACUAAUGUUUGAGUCGUGUAGUUAGUGUGAAAUUUCAAUUUGUAAUGUUUGGGUAGUGCAAAUUGAACCUUCUGUUACAAAAUCCUAUAAAUCAGAGAAAUAGUUUUGAUGGAC
rnacentral:lncRNA from 1 species